rnacentral:sRNA from 1 species
CCCCUGUGAAAUCUUCACGGUCACGCCGCGCCCGGUCUUAAAUCCCGCUUCCGCUGUAAGUAUCCCGCAUAAUCGAGCCAUUCACAUUUAGAGAUCAUCCGACAUAAUCAAUCUGCC